rnacentral:rRNA from 1 species
CUCGUCCAGUUUUGUCUUGCUUGUACACGAGAGAAAGCAGUACAACUUCUAACGGUGGACCCCUCGGCUCGUGCAUCGAUGAAGAACGCAGCAAACUGCGAUACGUAGUGUGAAUUGCAGAAUUCAGUGAAUCAUCGAGUCUUUGAACGCAAAUGG